rnacentral:rRNA from 1 species
GGAAUCUUCCACAAUGGGCGCAAGCCUGAUGGAGCAACACCGCGUGAGUGAAGAAGGGUUUCGGCUCGUAAAGCUCUGUUGUUAAAGAAGAACACGUAUGAGAGCAACUGUUCAUACGUUGACGGUAUUUAACCAGAAAGUCACGGCUAACUACUUGCCAG